GGCAGUGUGGUGUAGUGGUAAACAAGCUGUCCCCAAAACCCAGAGGUUGUGUGUUCAAUUCCCUGAUGCUA